rnacentral:snRNA from 1 species
GUGCUCGCUUCGGCAGCACAUAAACUAAAAAAUUGGAAUGAUACAGAGAAGAUCAGCAUGGCCCCUGCGCAAGGAUGACACACAAAUUCGUGAAGUGUUCCAUAUUAAA